AGGUACGUGGAAAUAUCCGUUUUACGGAACCGAAUUAUGUGCUAAAAAACUGUGCCACGCUUUUUAGAUUUUUUUUUAACUAGCGUUGGGAAGACGUGUUUAGUUAAAAAACUUUUUAGAAUUUGAUAUCAAUAUAGAUUAUUUUUAGAAACUUGAAUAGUUAAUCUUUAUUACUGUGAGCUUCAUUAUUUUACUGGAUGGCUUUUUUAUUGAGUUUUUUGAUGUCUAAAACUUUGUUGUACUUUGGGCAUGAAAUUAAUGUCGAAGUAUCAUCUAUAGCUGCUCUAUCUGGUAAGGUUUUUUUAUUUUAACUUUUUAAUAUAUUUUUAAUAUUCAAAUUUUAAUAAUAACUUCAAGAUUGGUAUGUGUAUUAUAUGCUUCCAUAUUUUAAAGUUAUUUAAAAAUUGUAUUUUUUUACUUUGUAACAUGAUUUAAUAAAAAAAAUCAUGCAAUAUAUUUUAUACUAAUCCAACUGGUAAGUUUAUUUAUUUUAACUUUGUAAUAAGACUUUCAUAGCAAGGUAAUUAUGAAAAUAAUAAAUUAUUAUGAUUUUUUUUUUUUAGUACCACCAUUAUCUGUUUCAGCUGUUCCACCUUCCACAGAUCUAACUGGUAAGGUUGUAUAUUUUUGCUUUGCAAUAUGAUUUGCAAUAAGAUUGUGUAAAAUGCUUUUUCAUUUCUUUUUUAGUGCCAUCAUCAUCUACUCCAACUGUGCCAUCAUCAUCUACUCCAACUGUGCCAUCAUCUGCUCUAACUGGUUGGGGGAGGGGGUUACACGCCCCUUCCGUACAUCAAUGCAAGUUGUGUAUUUGAAUUCCUGUAAAAUAUAGUUUUAUUAUGUAUACUAUUGAUUUCAAUGUAGUAAAGAUAAAAAUUUUAAUGAAAA